AAAUAAGGGCGUAUGGUGGAUGCCUAGGCUCUCAGAGGCGAAGAAGGACGUGAUAAGCUGCGAAAAGCUGCGUAGAGGUGCAAAUAACCAUUGAUACGCAGAUUUCCGAAUGGGGUAACCCGGUAUACAGUAUGUAUACCAUGCCGUAAGGCAAGCAAACGCAGGGAACUGAAACAUCUAAUUACCUGCAGGAAAAUAAAACAACAGUGAUUCCCCCAGUAGCGGCGAGCGACCGGGGAUUAGCCCAAACCCGUAUUGUUUAGGCAUUACGGGGGUAGUAGGAGCACGAUAUUGUAAUAGACGAAGAAAUGGAACGACUUGGAACAGUUGGCCUUAGCGGGUGAUAGCCCCUUACAUGUAAAUUGUUUAUAUCAUAGUGUAAUCCUGAGUAAGUCGGGACACGAGAAAUCCAGACCGAAUCCGCCGGGACCAUCCGGUAAGGCUAAAUACUCCUGAGAGACCGAUAGUGAACCAGUACUGUGAAGGAAAGGUGAAAAGCACUUCGAACAGAAGAGUGAAAAAGUUCCUGAAACCGUACGCCUACAAGCGGUCGGAGCCCUUUAUUGGGGUGACGGCGUGCCUUUUGCAUAAUGAGCCUACGAGUUACUCAUCUCUGGCAAGGUUAAGCGCUUCAGGCGCGUAAGCCGAAGCGAAAGCGAGUUUUAAAAAGCGCAUAGUCAGAGGUAGACGCGAAACCUUAGUGAUCUACCCAUGGACAGGCUGAAGGUUUGGUAACACAAACUGGAGGGCCGAACCGUUAAACGUUGAAAAGUUUUCGGAUGAUCUGUGGGUAGGGGUGAAAGGCCAAUCAAACUGGGAAAUAGCUCGUACUCUCCGAAAUGCAUUUAGGUGCAGCCUCUUUCUUAUUGUCAUAGAGGUAGAGCUACUGAUUGGAUGCGAGGGUUUCAUCGCCUAUCAAAUCCGGCCAAACUCCGAAUGCUAUGACAUAACAGGAAGGGAGUGAGCCCACGGGUGCUAAGGUCCGUGGACGAAAGGGAAAGAACCCAGACCAUCAGCUAAGGUCCCCAAUUAUAUGCUAAGUUGUACAAACGCGGUGGAACUGCUUAGACAGCUAGGAUGUUGGCUUGGAAGCAGCCAUUCAUUUAAAGAGUGCGUAACAGCUCACUAGUCGAGCGGUUCUGCAUGGAUAAUACACGGGCAUAAGCAUAUAACCGAAGCUAUGGGAUUGUGAUGUAAUCAUCAUGAUCGGUAGGAGAGCAUUCCAUUAUGUGUAGAAGCAAUACUGUGAGGUAUCGUGGAACGAAUGGAAAAGCAAAUGUAGGCAUAAGUAACGAUAAUGCGGGUGAGAACCCCGCACGCCGAAAGGUCAAGGAUUCCCCGGCAAUGUCAAUCACCCGGGGGUAAGUCGGGUCCUAAGGUAUAGCCGACCGGCGUAACCGAUGGCAAACAGGUUAAUAUUCCUGUACUGGCAAAUACUGCGAUGCAGCGACGUAGGAGUGGCCGUGUUGCCCACUGACGGAAUAGUGGGUUGAAGUAUGUAUCCGUAGAUAUGAGUAGUAAAGCACGCUCAUAGAGGAGAAAUACGAAAGUACUACAAAGCUUCGGCUGCGUAGAUAAUACACCUAAUCAUACUACCAAGAAAACCUGCUAAGCUUCAGGUAUUUGCCAUCCGUACUGUAAACGGACACACGUGACCGGGUUGAGAAUACUAAGGCGCACGAGAGAUUCAUGGCUAAGGAACUAGGCAAAAUAGUCCUGUAACUUCGGGAUAAAGGACGCUCCCCUAUAUGUGGAGCCUCAGUAAAUAGGCCCAGGCGACUGUUUACCAAAAACACAUGGCUUUGCUAAAUCGUAAGAUGAUGUAUAAGGCCUGACACCUGCCCGGUGCUGGAAGGUUAAGAGGAGAGCUCAGGGUUCAUUCCCGAAGGUUUGAAUUGAAGCCCCAGUAAACGGCGGCCGUAACUAUAACGGUCCUAAGGUAGCGAAAUUCCUUGUCGGGUAAGUUCCGACCUGCACGAAUGGGGUAAGUUCCGACCUGCACGAAUGGUGUAACGAUCUGGAUACUGUCUCAACCGUGAGCUCAGUGAAAUUGUAGUCCCGGUGAAGAUGCCGGGUACCCGCAACGGGACGGAAAGACCCCGUGAACCUUUACUGCAGCUUAGCGCUGGAUUUGGGAACAAGAUGUGUAGGAUAGGCGGGAGACUAUGAAGCGGCGUCGCUAGGCGUUGUGGAGUCACCCUUGAAAUACCGCCCUUUUUGUUUUCGGCUCCUAACCCGUAACAGGGGACACCGCUUGGUGGGUAGUUUGACUGGGGUGGUCGCCUCCAAAAGCGUAACGGAGGCUUCCCAAGGUACCCUCAAUACGGAUGGUAAUCGUAUGAAGAGUGCAAUGGCACAAGGGUGCUUGACAGUGAGACCGACGGGUCGAUCUGGUGCGAAAGCAGGGCAUAGUGAUCCGGUGGUUCCGCGUGGAAGGGCCAUCGCUCAAAGGAUAAAAGGUACUCCGGGGAUAACAGGCUGAUCGCUCCCAAGAGCUCAUAUCGACGGAGCGGUUUGGCACCUCGAUG
rnacentral:rRNA from 1 species